AUUACAAGUGAGGCUACCGAACGUUGGAAACAGCGGUUAGGAGCUUACACCCACCCGUGUCUACAUACUAUUGUUGCUUUGGCGGGCCGUGGCCUCCACUGCGGGCUCUGCUCGUGUGUGCCCGCCAGAGAACCAAACUCUGAAUGUUAGUGAUGUCUGAGUACUAUCUAAUAGUUAAAACUUUCAACAACGGAUCUCUUGGUUCUGGCAUCGAUGAAGAACGCAGCGAAAUGCGAUAAGUAAUGUGAAUUGCAGAAUUCAGUGAAUCAUCGAAUCUUUGAACGCACAUUGCGCCCUGUGGUAUUCCGCAGGGCAUGCCUGUUCGAGCGUCAUUUAACCACUCACGCCUAGCGUGGUAUUGGGGCACGCGGUCUCCGCGGCCCUCAAAAUUAGUGGCGGCGCCGGUGGGCUCUAAGCGUAGUACAUACUCCCGCUAUAGAGUUCCCCCGGUGGCUCGCCAGAACCCCCAAUUUUUACAGGUUGACCUCGGAUCAGGUAGGGAUACCCGC
rnacentral:rRNA from 1 species